rnacentral:lncRNA from 1 species
UUGCUUACCACACCGGUCAAAGCUUGGAUCAGAUUAACCAGGAUACUGACCGAGAUUUUUUCAUGAGCGCGAAAGAAGCAAAGGAAUACGGACUUAUUGACAGUGUCAUUAUGAAUCCUCUUAAAGCUCUUCAGCCACUAGCUCCUACAGCUGAUAGUAACGAAUAGCCGGAUCUUCCUUCAGGUAUUUUUACUAUCAUUUGACAUGGCUAAGAAAUAAUUCGAAAUGGUUGUUCGGUUUUCUGAUUGCCUCUUCGAAUACUAGAUAAUCUCGAGUC